AAAACCCAAAAACGAGGGGGGAGGGGAGAAAAAUGGUGGGAAGGCCAUUUUUACCUGAGAAACAAAAUAUAAUUGGUCCAUGUUGUCAAAAUUAAUUUGACAGAAUUCAA